UAAGAUACAAAUACAUUUGAAAAUUUAAAAGAAUCUAUUCGAUGAAAAAAUAUACCGUAAACUUAUUAUGUUUUAAAAAUUGAUAGACAUAUAUAUUAUAAUAUAUACUAAUUUAGAAUUGAAAACAAAAUAUUUGUAUAAAAAUAAAUGAAAACAAAAAUCCGCGCGAUUGCGCGGGUCGAGAUCUAGUAGUUGGUUAAAACUGAAGAACAGUCCCACAGGCAAUAUCUUAAAAAUAAUAAUAGCUCUAGUUGUUGACUUACCACAAUAAUGGAACAUUGUAACGGAGAAACGGUAGAACAUUUGAAUUAUAUGUUUCUCAAGAUUUUUCUUUGUAGAGGUUUUUAACUUCUUCUUUUUAACCGUAAACUUAUCACAUUAUCAUAGCAAAUCAGAAAUUCUCUUGCAGAGUUCUUACAUAGAUAUUUACACACACUAUGAGUCUAUCAUAGCCAGUUUAUUAUUAACAUAUAUGUUUGCCUAUUAGCUUCCCCAUGAACAUUAUCUGAAGCAAAAAAAUUAGACAAAGGCUUCUAGAUAUCCUGAACAUAUGUUGCUGAGAUCGAUCAAUAUAAAAGUAUUAUGAAUAUGCAUUAUCACAAACUUACAUGUGUUUAAUAAUAUAUAAUGACUGAGAACCUACACCAUCUCAAUAAUGUAUAGCAACCACACCUUUCCGGGUUAAACGUUCCUAAAUCACUUUUGGUGGAGAAGAUGUAAUAUAUAUAUAUAUAUAUAUAUAUAUAUAUAUAUAUAUAUCUUAUGUGUUACAAAUCAAAGUACUAAACUUAAGUCAAGUCAUUCUAUGAGUGUAUAAAACCGGAUCUAUCGUAUAUCAAAACUAUUUCAUAUUCCUACAAAAGAAAGGAGCAUAUAUUCUCUUCUUGAGUUUCUAUUCAUCGGUCGGACCAGAAAGCGUGAGCGGCUAAGACCCUAUCAAGAAGCUCUUGAGGCACAGGUUCGCCUCUUCUUUGCCUUGCUGAUAUCUUUGGGGUAUGAACCAAUGUUUUCCAUUUGUCCUGUUUUAGGUUACACAUAUUAUUAAAGACGCUUAUUCUAUUUAAUUAUCUUAUUAGAGCAAAGAUGAUUGUUGUAAACAACUUUCUUUUCUUCAAGGGAUAUAUAUUCUGGGCUCCUUCGCUACUACAACCUCCAUCUUUUGUGGAACAAAUCUUUCUUUUUCCGUCCCGUCUUCAUAAAUCGAAAUAAACACUUAAGAUUAUAUAAAAAUAUUGCGGUACAAAUUAAUAUAGCUAGCGAGUGAGUUUUUUCUUACCGAUAGUUUUCUUCUUGUGUAAUUGGAGAGCUAGAAAUGGAAGGACCAAGAGCUAACCAGUCCUUACACAAUAAUAUUUGAGGAGGUUUCUCCUGACAAGGUUGUGGAUUAACCUCAACUUCCAUUGUCUCCAAAAGGUAAUUUACUACGAAAUCUUCCUCUUUUUCCUUUGUUUCAUAGGCCCUGUGGUCGCCUGCCACGUGGGCUAAAACUUCGAACAUGGAUCUAUGUUUUUUCAUCACUUUUUGCUACGUCCCUGGAAUUAAAAAGGCGCAAUCUAGUGAACCAAUUUUAUGUAACUUGUGGAAAAGAAAAAGAAAUGUUUUACAAAAAAAAUAAGAAGAAGAAAUGUUGUUGGAAUUCAUAUACGCACUCUGGGUAAUCUAUAAGCCCUAGGAACCACAUGAGUUUGGUACGCAUCGAAACGAAAGUCCAACAUGUUCCCGAUAGACACGUUACUACGGAUUGGUUACGUUAAGCCUGAUCCUACACAUAUUUUAUAGUCAUGUUUACAUAAAACAGAAAGUAGAACAAAAAACGUUGAUGAGGAAAAUCAAACAGAGGAAAACAAAUAUUGGAUCUAAUCAUAUUACGUGCAUAACCUUAUAAUAAGUCUUUUUUGUUUUUCUGAAUCGCUUUCCAUUGAUUUUAUAAUUAGGGUCUUGUCAUUAUAGUGUUUUCAAAUUAAAUACUGUGUUUUUCAAUAUGCAGUUAUUGGAAAAGUUGUGAAAAAGUUUAAUGUGUUUUGUCAUCAACUCAUCAUGAAUAUGUAUCUUUACAUCAAAAAAUAUAGAGUAUUUUUUUUUUCAUUUUUUUAAAUUGUAUUAGUUUACUUCCUCACACUUGCCCUUCAUUGUGACCAACAAAAAAGGAAACAUCAAGCAAAUACCCAUCUCAUUUUCGUCAAA